UACGUAGGGACCGAGCGUUGUCCGGAAUCAUUGGGCGUAAAGAGCGUGUAGGCGGCUUGUUAAGUCUUGCGUGAAAUCUCGGGGCUCAACCCCGAGCGGUCGUGAGAAACUGGCAGGCUAGAGUGCGGGAGAGGAGAGUGGAAUUCCUGGUGUAGCGGUGAAAUGCGCAGAUAUCAGGAAGAACACCAAUGGCGAAGGCAGCUCGCUGGGACGUGACUGACGCUGAGACGCGAAAGCGUGGGGAGCAAACAGG
rnacentral:rRNA from 1 species